rnacentral:rRNA from 1 species
UACGGGGGGGGCAAGCGUUGUUCGGAAUUACUGGGCGUAAAGGGCGCGUAGGCGGCCUGCUAAGUCGGACGUGAAAUCCCUCGGCUCAACCGAGGAACUGCGUCCGAUACUGGUGGGCUUGAAUCCGGGAGAGGGAUGUGGAAUUCCAGGUGUAGCGGUGAAAUGCGUAGAUAUCUGGAGGAACACCGGUGGCGAAGGCGGCAUCCUGGAGCGGUAUUGACGCUGAGGCGCGAAAGCUAGGGGAGCAAACGGG